GAUGAACGCUGGCGGCGUGCCUAACACAUGCAAGUCGAGCGAGAAAAACUAAUUGAGUCUUCGGACAAGAGAAGUUUUGGAAAGCGGCGGACGGGUGAGUAACGCGUGGGUAACCUGCCCUAUGGAGGGGGAUAACGCAAAGAAAUUUGCGCUAAUACCGCAUAAGCACACAGGAUCACAUGAUCUAGGGUGAAAAACUCCGGUGCCAUAGGAUGGACCCGCGUAAGAUUAGCUAGUUGGUGAGGUAAUGGCUCACCAAGGCAACGAUCUUUAGCCGACCUGAGAGGGUGAUCGGCCACAUUGGGACUGAGACACGGCCCAAACUCCUACGGGAGGCAGCAGUGGGGGAUAUUGCACAAUGGGCGAAAGCCUGAUGCAGCAACGCCGCGUGAAGGAAGACGGUUUUCGGAUUGUAAACUUCUAUCAGCAGGGAAGAAAAUGACUGUACCUGACUAAGAAGCCCCGGCUAACUACGUG
rnacentral:rRNA from 1 species